rnacentral:rRNA from 1 species
AUUGAACGCUGGCGGCAGGCCUAACACAUGCAAGUCGAACGAGUGGCGGACGGGUGAGUAAUGUCUGGGAAACUGCCUGAUGGAGGGGGAUAACUACUGGAAACGGUAGCUAAUACCGCAUACCAUCAGAUGUGCCCAGAUGGGAUUAGCUAGUUGGUGGGGUAACGGCUCAACAAGGCGACGAUCCCUAGCUGGUCUGAGAGGAUGAACAGCCACACUGGAACUGAGAAACGGUCCAGAGUCAUACGGGAGGCAGCAUUGGGGAAGAUUGCACAAUGGGCGAAAGCCUGAUGCAGCCAGGCGGCGUGUAUGAAGAAGGCCGUCGGGUUGAAAAGUACUUUCAGCGGGGAGGCGUUACCCGCAGAAGAAGCACCGGCGAACUCCGUGCCAGCAGACGCGGUAAUAC